UACGUAGGGGGCUAGCGUUGUCCGGAUUUAUUGGGCGUAAAGAGCGUGUAGGCGGCCAGGUAGGUCUGCUGUGAAAACUUCGAGGCUCAACCUCGAGACGUCGGCGGAAACCAUCUGGCUAGUAGUCCGGAAGAGGAGAGUGGAAUUCCUGGUGUAGCGGUGAAAUGCGCAGAUAUCAGGAAGAACACCCGUGGCGAAGGCGGCUCUCUGGGACGGUACUGACGCUGAGACGCGAAAGCGUGGGGAGCGAACAGG
rnacentral:rRNA from 1 species